GACGAACGCUGGCGGCGUGCUUAACACAUGCCAGUCGAACGGGUCUGCCCUGUUUUUUGCGGGGUGGGUCAGUGGCGAACGGGUGAGUAACACGUGAGUAACCUGCCCCUCACUUCUGGAUAACCGCUUGAAAGGGUGGCUAAUACGGGGUGUUCUGGCUGUGCCGCAUGGUGUGGCUGGGAAAGAUUCACUUUUGUGGUGUUUUGGUGGGGGAUGGGCUCGCGGCCUAUCAGCUUGUUGGUGGGGUGAUGGCCUGCCAAGGCUUUGACGGGUAGCCGGCCUGGGAGGGUAGGCGGUCACACUGGGACUGAGGUACGGCCCAGACUCCUGCGGGGGGCAGCAGUGGGGGGUAUUGCACAGUGGGCGGAAGCCUGAUGCAGCGGCGUCGCUGGAGGGAUGGAGGCCUUCGGGUUGUGAACCUCUUUCGCCGGUGAAGAGGGUCCUGCUCUUUGUGGUGGGGUUGACGGUAGCCGGGUUAUGAAGCGCCGGCUAACUACGUG
rnacentral:rRNA from 1 species